rnacentral:lncRNA from 1 species
AACCAUGGACGCCAGAAAAUACAUUCUUGGUAGGAUUUGUAAGGGUCCCCAGUUGUAAUUUCUGAUGCAGGAAAGAAAAAAAAAUCAAGAACCAAUACAGUGCACAGAUGUGAUUCCAAAAUAGAGAUUUAUUUAUUAAGGAUUAUUUAGUUUCUGCAUAAAAAUCUCCAAUUGUUCCUCAUUGGGUUUUUUCUUUUAAAACACACAUCAACUCUUUUGGGGUUGCUUUGUUUGCCCCAGCACUUUAAAAAAUACAGCUCUUUUUAGCGCCAGGAAGAACAGUUAAGGUUAAGGGCUUGCUGGUUGGUUUCAG